rnacentral:rRNA from 1 species
UACGAACUGUGCGAACGUUAUUCGGAAUCACUGGGCUUACAGGGUGCGUAGGCGGCUUGCUAAGUAGGGUGUGAAAGCCCCCGGCUCAACCGGGGAAUGGCGCCCUAAACUGGCGAGCUAGAGUGAGAUAGGGGUGUGUGGAACUUCCGGUGGAGCGGUGAAAUGUGUUGAUAUCGGAAGGAACGCCGGUGGCGAAAGCGACACACUGGAUCUUGUCUGACGCUGAGGCACGAAAGCCAGGGGAGCGAACGGG